GGGCCAGCUUAGCCUAGCGGUUACUUCGACUCAACAUUUGGAGACUCUCUAAUUGCUUAACGGCAGUUUGAUACCCCGCAGGCGCUGUCUGGUCUUUUU
ensembl:vault_RNA Vault Vault RNA